GCAGUAAGGAAUAUUGGUCAAUGGAGGCAACUCUGAACCAGCCAUGCCGCGUGCAGGAAGACAGCCCUCUGGGUCGUAAACUGCUUUUAUUCGGGAAUAAACCACAUUACGUGUAAUGUGCUGAAUGUACCGAAGGAAUAAGGAUCGGCUAACUCCGUGCCAGCAGCCGCGGUAAUACGGAGGAUCCAAGCGUUAUCCGGAUUUAUUGGGUUUAAAGGGUGCGUAGGCGGCUUAUUAAGUCAGGGGUGAAAGACGGUGGCUCAACCAUCGCAGUGCCUUUGAUACUGAUGAGCUUGAAUACACUAGAGGUAGGCGGAAUGUGACAAGUAGCGGUGAAAUGCAUAGAUAUGUCACAGAACACCGAUUGCGAAGGCAGCUUACUAUGGUGUGAUUGACGCUGAGGCACGAAAGCGUGGGGAUCAAACAGGAUUAGA
rnacentral:rRNA from 1 species